CCUGUUCCCAUGCCGAACACAGAAGUUAAGCUCCUUAGCGUCGAUGGUAGUUGGACUUACGUUCCGCUAGAGUAGAACGUUGCCAGGC
rnacentral:rRNA from 1 species